rnacentral:rRNA from 1 species
CGAAGGGUGCAAGCGUUAAUCGGAAUUACUGGGCGUAAAGCGCGCGUAGGUGGUUCAGCAAGUUGGAGGUGAAAAUCCCCGGGCGUCAACCUGGGAACGUGCCUCCAAAACUAACUGAGCUAGAGUACGGUAGAGGGUAGUGGAAUUUCCUGUGUAGCGGUGAAAUAGCGUAGAUAUAGGAAGGAACACCAGUGGCGAAGGCGACUACCUGGACUGAUACUGACACUGAGGUGCGAAAGCGUGGGGAGCAAACAGGAUU